UGACCAACGCGCUCCCUGUAGGGUCC
rnacentral:piRNA from 1 species